CUUGCUUCUCUUGAGAGCGGCGGACGGGUGAGUAAUGCCUAGGAAUCUGCCUGGUAGUGGGGGAUAACGUUCGGAAACGGACGCUAAUACCGCAUACGUCCUACGGGAGAAAGCAGGGGACCUUCGGGCCUUGCGCUAUCAGAUGAGCCUAGGUCGGAUUAGCUAGUUGGUGGGGUAAUGGCUCACCAAGGCGACGAUCCGUAACUGGUCUGAGAGGAUGAUCAGUCACACUGGAACUGAGACACGGUCCAGACUCCUACGGGAGGCAGCAGUGGGGAAUAUUGGACAAUGGGCGAAAGCCUGAUCCAGCCAUGCCGCGUGUGUGAAGAAGGUCUUCGGAUUGUAAAGCACUUUAAGUUGGGAGGAAGGGCAGUUGCCUAAUACGUAACUGUUUUGACGUUACCGACAGAAUAAGCACCGGCUAACUCUGUGCCAGCAGCCGCGGUAAUACAGAGGGUGCAAGCGUUAAUCGGAAUUACUGGGUAAAGCGCGCGUAGGUGGUUUGUUAAGUUGGAUGUGAAAUCCCCGGGCUCAACCUGGGAACUGCAUUCAAAACUGACUGACUAGAGUAUGGUAGAGGGUGGUGGAAUUUCCUGUGUAGCGGUGAAAUGCGUAGAUAUAGGAAGGAACACCAGUGGCGAAGGCGACCACCUGGACUGAUACUGACACUGAGGUGCGAAAGCGUGGGGAGCAAAC
rnacentral:rRNA from 1 species